GACCUGAUAGUACAGUUGGUAGUGCAUCUGCUCAAACUUCGCCAUGGUUUUAUAAGUCUAAGUAGAAGACCCUCGUUCAAUCCGGGGUCAGGUCA